UUCCGUAGGUGAACCUGCGGAGGGAUCAUUACUGAGUUUACGCUCUACAACCCUUUGUGAACAUACCUACAACUGUUGCUUCGGCGGGUAGGGUCUCCGCGACCCUCCCGGCCUCCCGCCUCCGGGCGGGUCGGCGCCCGCCGGAGGAUAACCAAACUCUGAUUUAACGACGUUUCUUCUGAGUGGUACAAGCAAAUAAUCAAAACUUUUAACAACGGAUCUCUUGGUUCUGGCAUCGAUGAAGAACGCAGCGAAAUGCGAUAAGUAAUGUGAAUUGCAGAAUUCAGUGAAUCAUCGAAUCUUUGAACGCACAUUGCGCCCGCCAGCAUUCUGGCGGGCAUGCCUGUUCGAGCGUCAUUUCAACCCUCAAGCUCUGCUUGGUGUUGGGGCCCUACAGCCGAUGUAGGCCCUCAAAGGUAGUGGCGGACCCUCCCGGAGCCUCCUUUGCGUAGUAACUUUACGUCUCGCACUGGGAUCCGGAGGGACUCUUGCCGUAAAACCCCCCAAUUUUCCAAAGGUUGACCUCGGAUCAGGUAGGAAUACCCGCUGAACUUAAGCAUAUCAAUAAGCGGAGGA
rnacentral:rRNA from 1 species